rnacentral:rRNA from 1 species
GAUGAACGCUGGCGGCGUGCCUAAUACAUGCAAGUCGAGCGAACAGAUGAGGAGCUUGCUCCUCUGACGUUAGCGGCGGACGGGUGAGUAACACGUGGAUAACCUACCUAUAAGACUGGGAUAACUUCGGGAAACCGGAGCUAAUACCGGAUAAUAUAUUGAACCGCAUGGUUCAAUAGUGAAAGACGGUUUUGCUGUCACUUAUAGAUGGAUCCGCGCCGCAUUAGCUAGUUGGUAAGGUAACGGCUUACCAAGGCAACGAUGCGUAGCCGACCUGAGAGAGUGAUCGGCCACACUGGAGCUGAGACACGGUCCAGACUCCUACGGGAGGCAGCAGUAGGGAAUCUUCCGCAAUGGGCGAAAGCCUGACGGAGCAACGCCGCGUGAGUGAUGAAGGUCUUCGGAUCGUAAAACUCUGUUAUUAGGGAAGAACAAAUGUGUAAGUAACUAUGCACGUCCUGACGGUACCUAAUCAGAAAGCCACGGCUAACUACGUG